rnacentral:tRNA from 4 species
GGACAGUUAGCUCAGCUGGUAUGAGCACAUGCUUGACGUGCAUGGGGUCACAGGUUCGAGUCCUGUACUGUCCACCA